CGCAUCUACCGGAUUUGAACCAGCGACCUAAGGAUCACCGCUUAAUUACAUCAACAGUCCUCCGCUCUGCCAACUGAGCUAUC
rnacentral:tRNA from 1 species